rnacentral:rRNA from 1 species
CCCUUAGAUGUCCUGGGCCGCACGCGCGUUACACUGAUGCAUUCAACGAGCUUAUAACCUUGGCCGAGAGGCCUGGGCAAUCUUGUUAACGUGCAUCGUGAUAGGGAUAGAUUAUUGAAAUUAUUAAUCUUGAACGAGGAAUUCCUUGUAAACGCAGAUCAUCAAUCUGCAUUGAUUACGUCCCUGCCCUUUGUACACACCGCCCGUCGCACCUACCGAUUGGAUGGUCCGGUGAAGCCUCGGGAUUGUGGUUCUUGCCGCUUUAUUGUGGCGUGACCGCGAGAACUUGUCUAAACCUUAUCAUCUAGAGGAAGGUGAAGUCGUAACA